ACGCACGCUGGCGGCGUGCCUCAUACCUGCCAGUAGAACGCUGAAGAGAGGAGCUUGCUCUUCUUGGAUGAGUUGCGAACGGGUGAGUAACGCGUAGGUAACCUGCCUUGUAGCGGGGGAUAACUAUUGGAAACGAUAGCUAAUACCGCAUAACAAUGGAUGACACAUGUCAUUUAUUUGAAAGGGGCAAUUGCUCCACUACAAGAUGGACCUGCGUUGUAUUAGCUAGUAGGUGAGGUAAUGGCUCACCUAGGCGACGAUACAUAGCCGACCUGAGAGGGUGAUCGGCCACACUGGGACUGAGACACGGCCCAGACUCCUACGGGAGGCAGCAGUAGGGAAUCUUCGGCAAGGGGGGCAACCCUGACCGAGCAACGCCGCGGGAGUGAAGAAGGUUUUCGGAUCGUAAAGCUCGGUUGUAAGUCAAGAACGGGUGUGAGAGUGGAAAGUUCACACUGUGACGGUAGCUUACCAGAAAGGGACGGCUAACUACGUG
rnacentral:rRNA from 1 species